rnacentral:tRNA from 4 species
AGAAACUUAGGCUAGUA